GGGCUAUUGGCGCAGGCAGGUAGCGCGACUGGCUCUUAACCAGCAGGUCGGGGGUUCGAAACUAUCAUUGUCUU
rnacentral:tRNA from 1 species